CACUUUCUCCAAAAACAUCCAGAUCUCCAAAUCUGGAGAAAAUAUUUCAAACCCCACACACAGUCCUAAAUCCCAUAUCUCCUAAAAUUUAUUUCCCCCCCAAAUUUUCAACACCCAACCUACGAAUCCAACCUCUGCCCUUGUCGUGGUGAAUCGUCAAGAGCCGCGAACCACUCCGCCAUGGACCAUCUCGCAAGACAUCCGAUCCCUCGCCGAAGUUGUGCCUGAAGGUUGUACGUCAGCCAGUGGCAUGCGAUGAAGUUCGUGGACAACACAGCUGCGAGCUCCCGCGCGUUUCCUUUCCGAGGAACUGCCGCCCCUCGGUGAUGUUCUGUCGCACUGGAAGAAUGAUAUAGGUUUCUGGUUUAAUUUUUAAUUAGGAGCUAGUUAGUUAUUUGAUCCGGUUACAAUGGUUUUGGCUUGUUAUUUUGUGCCAAUUUUAUUAGGGUACGAUAUUUGAAACUCGUGUACACCAAUUUUCUUUUUUAUUCUUUAUGUUUUCUACUUUACAGAAAGGGAAAUGGAGGAGGUGGUUUUAGAAUUACAUCCCACUGCUUGAAUUUUUAAGAUGAAAGAAUCAUGGACAAAGAAACAAUCUGAAGGUGAUUCUGAGAUUUCAGCAUGGGUUAGUAAAAGUCGCAAAGUUAGAGAAGAAUAGAGCAUUGUAGCUCUCAAAGAUUUUUGAGGAGCAGUAUAGGGAAGUGAAAAUUGCAGUAGAGGGAAGUGAUGAUGAGGAUACAGCCCAACACACUAAUGGAAUUAUAUUGAAAUAGGUGGCAAGAUAAAAGACAUGGAUUGCGUGGAAGCUUUUGGAACUAGUGUGACAACAUGGGCGCGAAGAACAAUGGAAAAAUGCAAACGCAGAAGUUGAAGAUGUCCACACACAUGAUGUGCGAGAUUCUGGACCAAAUUGGAGCUAUAAAAGAAAUAUGUGAAGCACUUUUGUUGAGAGUAUGGAGCGUAGUGUUGUUAGUUUGAAUAUAUUGUAAUACAUAUGAUUAUUUUUGUCUUUUUUUGUUUGUUUUUUUGGUAUAUAGAUUCAAGUUUAAUUUUAAGGAGCCUAGUAUAGAUAUAAUACUUUUUGGAUAUGUAAAUAGGUAUGAUAUAUCAUAUUUGGAA